UCUGAUUUCUUACGUUGGAGACUGAAAGAACCACCUUCCUGAAUAUUUACAGAAUGUUUUAAGGGUAAAAAAUUGAGAAUGGAUCUCCUUAGAGAGGAAGGAGAGAGAAUGGCACAUCUAAAGGAUGCAAUCUAUCAUCCUAAACAUUGGUCUUUUCACUCUUAUGAAAAUGGAACUGUAAAACCAAAAGAAAACAGCAGUUCAGAAUUACCCUCUGGGCCAAGACAAAACCAGCCUGGAUUCUCU